AAAGCUGUCAGUGCCUCUUUACACCACUUGCAGAAACACAAGAGACCACUGGGAAAUUGUCUCCCAACAGUAAGGAGGAGAGAGAGAGUCAAUUCAUGGUUUGGCCUUUUUUAAAAAGAGAAAUGGUUUUCUAAGUUUCUUGUUGGUGGAGACCCCAUAACCCUGACUUCAGAAGUAGACUUCAGAAUAGUGACCUGAUACAUCAGUCCUGGAGUAUUGGAUGAUGCCAUUCUCAAAGAAGAAGUGGAGGAAGAAGAGGAAGAGGAGAAAAAAGAGAAGAGGAAGACGUAUAAAUAUGAAUGCCCAUUCAAAGUAAAAAGAUGCUCAAUCUUUCUAACAAGGCUCUGCAAGGUAGCAAAUCAUUGUAGCACUGAGUCACAGAGACUGUAUUCUUGAAGUCCUGGCAGAGGCAAAUUUCUCAUUAACAUUGAUCUGAGAGACAUCUGCGAUGAGCCUGUACAACGAGCCGACCUGCCGAGCUGACCCGAAGCUGAUGAGUGGUUCCGAAGGGAGGCAGGCUGGGAAUGAAGACACCACAGUGAAAUGAGCCCAUCUCUGUUUUCAGAACAUGACUUCGUAACUCCAGACUUAUAUGUUGAAUUUCUUGAGGCUUAAAUGUAUAAGCUCUUCCACUAUAUCGUCCUCUACAAUUUGAAAGUGAGUUGGAGAAUUGAGUCAACUUGCAGGAGAAUUCAAGCUCCUUAAACCCAUAGUGCUUGGAUAAUACUGGAACUUAGAUAAUCAUGAAAUUUGUUUUAAUCCCUUAUUUAGUUUUGUAGAGACUCUCUGGCCUCCGAUGCAACAAUGGCUAAUUCUUCUUUUCCAAGUUCUGGUUUUUUUUUUUUUUAAAGAAAAAAAGAAUGCCUAGGGUUUGUGGUAAAAAAUCAUAUUGAAAAAGGAAUUUAAAAUAGCCCUCUUUCUCCGACAAUAUAUAUCUGGCCUAGAGUUUAUUGCUGGAAAACACUCUACAGUGAAUGGCAAAGUAAUAAAGGGAAAAAAAUACUGGAAGUAGGUGACGUUAAAAAUAGUGAUAUUUUGCUUCCGUGGGCUCUUUUCUAAAGAAUGAUGGCUGAAAGAAAAUUAUACCACUUUAAAAAUGAAUUUU
rnacentral:lncRNA from 1 species